CCCCUUGACACGUGCUGUGUUUCGGCGCCACGUUCCUGCGCUCGUGCACAUUUCCUUUAACUUUGGAAAUUUCUGAAACUAAGAUGUCAUGUUAUUGAAUUCAGCGCUUUAUUUGUUAAAGCUGUUGACCGGAAGAGAUGUGUUGGACUGAAGACUAACUUGACGUCGAAUAGCAACGUCCGAUUUUCCAACAGUCGGUAAUAAAACCGUCUUUUUCCAAAACAACACACAACACCACGCCGGCAACAGCAGGACGGAUGUGCAUCAUCAUCAUCUUCAUCUUCAUCAUCUCACUAUCGUCUGACACCCGCGGUGCAGCAGGGCCAGUAAGCGGCUGGCGUCCGGCUGCGGGCGGCCCUCUCAAUGGUCUCUCCCACCAUGAAAGCGUUGGUGGAUGCCGCAUGGGUGGUGUGGAGCAUCGGGGCCUCCGUCUAUGACUACAUCCACACCAACGCCAUGGAGGAGCGUAUCCACGCCCUGGAGGACGUCAUCACCGUCCACCAAUGUGCGAUUGGACUUCUGUCUGCGGGCGUGUUAGUCCUCUUCACCUACAUCCUCUUGAAGAAGCUCUGAGGACACUGAAAUGCCGACCUGACAUUUUUUUGUAACACAUUUUCAUAUUUUCUCAGUUUGGAUACAAAAAGAGCGUUGACACAGACGCACCGUUAUAGCAGCAGUAAACUGGUCAUUUGCAUAAUAGUCCAAGUUCCUUAAUAUAUCAGCGCACCAGAAUACACUGUAUAGUAUUCAAACUCCAUUUACACGAAGAAGCUGAUUAAAUGUGGUUUUGGUAAUUCUCCAAUUUGCUAAAGGGAUCAUUGUCAAAACUAAUUCUGCCUUUAAAGUACGUGUUUGUUUUGUUUUUUAGGCUCUCUAUGUCGUUUUUAUGUUCGCACUACUUUCCUCAAAGCCUGACUGAGAUCAGGAAAAGCUUAUUCCCCUGAAACUAGUAUCUUGAGUGUUGAGGAACUUUUUAUUAUCUCAACGGUCAUUUUUAGAAAUGUAAUUAUCCGUUCCAUUCAUGUGAACGAGACACACGAUUAGUUUAGUGGGCAAAAUUCUAAGUUACUGUGCCCUAAAAUAAAAUGUGUUUUUGGGCCAUAACUGAAGAAUUGAUAUGACAAUUAUGUUAAUUUACACAGUCUCCCAAGAUAAAAUUAAAUUUCUGAAACAUGGAUGUAAACUGUUACUUGACUGGUUGGUGGAGGCAGACAACCACAAGGAGGAAGAAAACUGGUAAAACUGUUUUAUGGGUGUAUUAUUAAUUAUUAUAUUCAUUUGUAUAAUGCUUUUUAAACAAACCUCUUUUAUACCUCGUAGUAGUUGAUAUAUAUUUAUGGAGGUGCCACUGCUGGCUUAAAGUGUCCUUAAAAACUAAUUGUAAAUAUAUAUACAUAUAUGCGUAUAAUAUAUAUUUUAACUUAUUUUUGUUGCUGGCCAUUGAACUAUCUCAGAGUGCUACUGCUGCUUGAUAUUUAUGGAUGUUUUUUUAAGGCAGCGCGUUGUACAGUGACUCUUGGUACCGACUACCAACAAGUGGAUUGUUGUGUGAAAUAAAAAUGUUUUGAAUUUUU